UACAGAGACUGCGAGCGUUACUCGGAUUCACUGGGCGUAAAGGGUGCGUAGGCGGCUAAAUGUGUCAGAUGUGAAAUCCCGGGGCUCAACUCCGGAACUGCGUCUGAAACUAUUUAGCUAGAGACUCGGCGAGGUAAGCGGAAUUCCAAGUGUAGUAGUGAAAUGCGUAGAUAUUUGGAGGAACACCGAAGGCGAAGGCAGCUUACUGGAAGAGUUCUGACGCUGAGGCACGAAAGCGUGGGGAUCAAAAGGG
rnacentral:rRNA from 1 species